rnacentral:rRNA from 1 species
GACUAACGCUGGCGGCGUGCCAAACACAUGCAAGUCGAACGAAGCAGCAAUGCUUAGUGGCAGACGGGUGAGUAACGCGUAGAUAAUGUGCCCUCUCGCGGGGGAUACCGUUUCGAAAGGAACGUUAAUACCGCAUAAAGUCCUUAGGAGGCAUCUCUUAGGGACCAAAACUUCCGGGGCGGGAGGAGCAAUCUGCGUACUAUCAGCUAGUUGGUGAGGUAAUGGCUCACCAAGGCUACGACGGUUAACUGGUCUGAGAGGAUGAUCAGUCACACUGGAACUGAGACACGGUCCAGACUCCUACGGGAGGCAGCAGUGAGGAAUAUUGCACAAUGGGCGAAAGCCUGAUGCAGCGACGCCGCGUGGAGGAUGAAGGAUUUCGGUCUGUAAACUCCUGUCAGUAGGGAAGAGAAUGGACGGUACCUACUGAGGAAGCUUCGGCUAACUACGUGCCAGCAGCCGCGGUAAU